rnacentral:lncRNA from 1 species
UAAUUAUGUAUAUAUAUAUUUCUCUUUUUUUUUGUAGAUUGUGCAAAGCUAAAUGCCCAGAUGGGCGAAUUGACUGCACAGAAGGUGGAAAAUGAGAUACUUCUUGAGGUAAUACGAGCGCAAACUGUUACCAAAUGAUGGAUAUCUGUGUAUGUAAAUAUGUAUGUACAUAUGUAUACAUAAGCAUCUUUUUUUUAAUAGGAAGUUAAAACUUUAGAAGACGAUGCUGUUUUACAUAAACUAGUUGGUUUAGUCUUGGUAAAAGAAGAAAAGAGUAAAUGCUAUGACACUAUAACGAGAAGAAUACACUACAUACGUGGGGAAAUGUAAAUUGAAAAAUAAAAACACGUAAAUUUGAGUUUGCAUAAAAAAAAGUAUACACAUAUGCAUGCUUAUACAUAUAUAUAUAUAUUUAUAACUUGUGUAAGAAUAUAAUUUUUUCUUUCCAUAUACUUUAUUAUAAAUUGUAACAAUACAUAAAUAACUAUUGAUUUAUAGGGAAAGCAGAAAAAAAGUCAUUAAAAACUUGGAGGAGAAACUAAAAAAGUUGUUCGCGGAUUUGGAGGUACACACCAAUAAAAAAAAAAUUGCAAUUCCACAANNNNNNNNNNAAAAAUAUACAAGUUCGAAAUAAUUAUGUAUAUAUAUAUUUCUCUUUUUUUUUGUAGAUUGUGCAAAGCUAAAUGCCCAGAUGGGCGAAUUGACUGCACAGAAGGUGGAAAAUGAGAUACUUCUUGAGGAAGUUAAAACUUUAGAAGACGAUGCUGUUUUACAUAAACUAGUUGGUUUAGUCUUGGUAAAAGAAGAAAAGAGUAAAUGCUAUGACACUAUAACGAGAAGAAUACACUACAUACGUGGGGAAAUGGAAAGCAGAAAAAAAGUCAUUAAAAACUUGGAGGAGAAACUAAAAAAGUUGUUCGCGGAUGUAAUAUAAUAUAUAUAUAUAUAUAAGACAGUUAUAUUUAUCCUAUAUAGUCAUAUAUGUUUUCUUUUUGACAUAUUAUAAGAUUUACCCAACUUUUGUUUUAAUAUAUCUUUUUUUUUUCUUUCUUUUUCUUUACAGUUGGAGGUACACACCAAUAAAA